GGAAUAUUGGACAAUGGGCGAAAGCCUGAUCCAGCCAUGCCGCGUGUGUGAAGAAGGUCUUCGGAUUGUAAAGCACUUUAAGUUGGGAGGAAGGGCAGUAAGCGAAUACCUUGCUGUUUUGACGUUACCGACAGAAUAAGCACCGGCUAACUCUGUGCCAGCAGCCGCGGUAAUACAGAGGGUGCAAGCGUUAAUCGGAAUUACUGGGCGUAAAGCGCGCGUAGGUGGUUGGUUAAGUUGGAUGUGAAAGCCCCGGGCUCAACCUGGGAACUGCAUCCAAAACUGGCCGACUAGAGUACAGUAGAGGGUGGUGGAAUUUCCUGUGUAGCGGUGAAAUGCGUAGAUAUCAGAAGGAACACCUGCGGCGAAGGCGGCUUGCUGGACAGACACUGACGCUGAGGCGCGAAAGCCAGGGGAGCAAAC
rnacentral:rRNA from 1 species